AAUGAACGCUGGCGGCGUGCCUAACACAUGCAAGUCGAACGAGAACGGGCUUCGGCCUUAGUACAGUGGCGAACGGGUGAGUAACGCGUGGGAAUCUACCCCUUUGUGAGGAAUACCUUCGAGAAAUCGAAGUUAAUACUGCAUAAGCUCCUUCGGGAGGAAAGGUGGCCUAAUUAGCUGCCGCAGAGGGAUGAGCCUGCGUACUAUUAGCUCGUUGGUAGGGUAAUGGCCUACCAAGGCGAGGAUGGUUAGCCGGCCUGAGAGGGUGAUCGGCCACACAGGGACGGAGACGCGGCCCGGGCUCCUACGGGAGGCAGCAGUAGGGAACCUUCGGCAAUGGACGGAAGUCUGACGGAGCAACGCAGCGUGAGUGAUGAAGGCUUUCGGGUCGUAAAACUCUGUUGUUAGGGAAGAACAAGUGCUAGUUGAAUAAGCUGGCACCUUGACGGUACCUAACCAGAAAGCCACGGCUAACUACGUGCCAGCCGCCGCCGUAA
rnacentral:rRNA from 1 species